rnacentral:misc_RNA from 1 species
CGGCGAGGAACCCUUUCCAGAGAAUUGAGAACUUACAUGUACAUGUAGGCGUAGGCGAAUUUGGUUGCGAAUUAUAUUUGGGAUAUACUCUGCCAUCCUCUGGUGACUAUCUUCAUCCGAUCAGGGUAGAGAACUUCGAAGAAACCAUACGCCUUGCCCAACUCGUGCCGGAAUUGAAGGUUUACUCCUGCGAGUGCUGUCCCGAGGAAAACGCCAGGAUUAGGGAUUGCGGUCUUUGCGUGGAGCAAUAAAACUGCAUGGGUCUUAUCUAACAAGGUCGGACUGAUGUCUACUCCACA